rnacentral:rRNA from 1 species
AGUCGAACGGUGGUAGCAAUACCAUAGUGGCGCACGGGUGCGUAACACGUAACUAACCUACCCAUCAUUGGGGGAUAGCCCGCCGAAAGGCGGAUUAAUACCGCAUAAGACUGUAGAGUGGCAUCACUUAGCAGUUAAAGAUUUAUUGAUGAUGGAUGGGGUUGCGGGUCAUUAGCUAGUUGGUAAGGUAACGGCUUACCAAGGCGACGAUGACUAGGGGAGCUGAGAGGCUGGUCCCCCACACGGGCACUGAGAUACGGGCCCGACUCCUACGGGAGGCAGCAGUAGGGAAUAUUGGGCAAUGGGCGAGAGCCUGACCCAGCCAUGCCGCGUGCAGGAAGAAGGCUUUCUGAGUCGUAAACUGCUUUUGACAGGGAAGAAUAAGGCUUACGUGUAAGCUGAUGACGGUACCUGCAGAAUAAGCACCGGCUAACUCCGUGCCAGCAGCCGCGGUAAUACGGAGGGUGCGAGCGUUGUCCGGAUUUAUUGGGUUUAAAGGGUGCGUAGGCGGCCUUAUAAGUCCGGGGUGAAAGCCCGCUGCUCAACAGCGGAACUGCCCUGGAUACUGUGAGGCUUGAGUACAGACGAGGUUGGCGGAAUGGACCGAGUAGCGGUGAAAUGCAUAGAUACGGUCCAGAACCCCGAUUGCGAAGGCAGCUGACUAGGCUGUUACUGACGCUGAGGCACGAAAGCGUGGGGAGCGAACAGGAUUAGAUACCCUGGUAGUCCACGCCGUAAACGAUGGAUACUCGCUGCGAGCUAAAGAUUGUUCGUGGCUUAGGGAAACCGAUAAGUAUCCCACCUGGGGAGUACGCCGGCAACGGUGAAACUCAAAGGAAUUGAC